rnacentral:rRNA from 1 species
CCUACGGGAGGCAGCAGUAGGGAAUCUUCCACAAUGGGCGAAAGCCUGAUGGAGCAACGCCGCGUGGGUGAAGAAGGUCUUCGGAUCGUAAAACCCUGUUGUUAGAGAAGAAAGUGCGUGAGAGUAACUGUUCACGUUUCGACGGUAUCUAACCAGAAAGCCACGGCUAACUACGUGACAGCAGCCGCGGUAAUACGUAGGUGGCAAGCGUUAUCCGGAUUUAUUGGGCGUAAAGGGAACGCAGGCGGUCUUUUAAGUCUGAUGUGAAAGCCUUCGGCUUAACCGGAGUAGUGCAUUGGAAACUGGGAGACUUGAGUGCAGAAGAGGAGAGUGGAACUCCAUGUGUAGCGGUGAAAUGCGUAGAUAUAUGGAAGAACACCAGUGGCGAAAGCGGCUCUCUGGUCUGUAACUGACGCUGAGGUUCGAAAGCGUGGGUAGCAAACAGGAUUAGAUACCCCAGUAGUC